rnacentral:lncRNA from 1 species
AUGGGACUGUACAUUAAUAAUUAGUAUAUAGGGAAGCUAUAUUUUUGAACCAACCAUUCAUUUACUGUAUAUAUGAACUGGCACUCUCUGUAUAUGAGUAAAAGUCCAGAUUGCAAUUAUUAUUAUGUGAAAGAUCAAUAGCAGACCCUGAAAUUUAUGUAGACAUGAGGGGAAAAUGAUAAUAAUCUCAACUUAAUUUAUAAUUAGUAAAAUUUUGCUUUUUGAGGAAAAGAUCCUUGGGACUUUAAUCUGCUGCUAUUCUAAGUUUUCUAAAUUUUGAUUUUAGAUAUGUAUCUGACUCCUCAUCAGGCCAUAACUCCAGGGAAAUGCCAUGUGCUUCUGCAGUCUCAGGACAGCCUCUGGGAAAGUCAAGAGAAUGACUUUGCAAAAAACAAGGCCAAAGAUAAUACUGUUUGGCAGAGAAGACAGAACCAAAAUAGAAGUAAGGAGCUUUGCCUUCUCCAUCAUCAGUUAUCAUUACACUUUCCAUCUUGAAUGGAUAGAGUUGGGAAUCUGGAUUUUGAAACAAGGACAUUUGUUGAGCCAAAGACAACUCUCUUGUGAAUUGCUGUCUACUGAACUGGGAAGAUGGACGAUCUAAAUUCAAAUCCUACCUCAGAUACUUCCUGUAGGACCCCAGGAAAGUUAGCCCUUAUCCUCACCAGACUCAGUUUCCUUAUUUGAAAAUGGGGAUUAAAUUCUAGCACCUAUCUCAUAGGGUUAUCAUCAGGAUCCCAUGAGAUUAUAUAUAUAUAUAUAUAUAUAUAUAUAUAUAUAUAUAUAUAUAUAUAUAUA